rnacentral:lncRNA from 1 species
UAACUACAGUGAAAUUUAAUUCCUGCAGUCUUACCUGAUAUAACCGGUCUUUGGCCUGUGGCUGAGACGCCAUCUGUACGCAGUGAAAUCUUUCCAGCCGAUGUGGCGAGGGUCAUGCCACAGGGUGCGCACCUGAAGGAAAAGGAGCAGGAAAGGUUGAAACAGCCCCCUUCUAGACGAGGCUUCUUACCUGGCCAGGGGUGUUUCCUGUGUGCCACAGUGCAUUCCGCAGGUGCUCGCCAGGGCCGGUGGUGGAGUUCACAACCUUUACAGACAGGC